UCGACGGGCUCAUAUUGAAACCUAGUGAUGUAUGAGUUAGUGGCGGACGGGUGAGUAACGCGUGGAGAACCUGCCGUAUACUGGGGGAUAACACUUAGAAAUAGGUGCUAAUACCGCAUAAGCGCACAGCUUCGCAUGAAGCAGUGUGAAAAACUCCGGUGGUAUACGAUGGAUCCGCGUCUGAUUAGCUGGUUGGCGGGGUAACAGCCCACCAAGGCGACGAUCAGUAGCCGGCCUGAGAGGGUGAACGGCCACAUUGGGACUGAGACACGGCCCAAACUCCUACGGGAGGCAGCAGUGGGGAAUAUUGCACAAUGGGGGAAACCCUGAUGCAGCGACGCCGCGUGAGUGAAGAAGUAUUUCGGUAUGUAAAGCUCUAUCAGCAGGGAGGAAAAUGACGGUACCUGACUAAGAAGCCCCGGCUAACUACGUGCCAGCAGCCGCGGUAAUACGUAGGGGGCAAGCGUUAUCCGGAUUUACUGGGUGUAAAGGGAGCGUAGACGGCAGCGCAAGUCUGAAGUGAAAUCCCAUGGCUUAACCAUGGAACUGCUUUGGAAACUGUGCAGCUGGAGUGCAGGAGAGGUAAGCGGAAUUCCUAGUGUAGCGGUGAAAUGCGUAGAUAUUAGGAGGAACACCAGUGGCGAAGGCGGCUUACUGGACUGUAACUGACGUUGAGGCUCGAAAGCGUGGGGAGCAAACAGGAUUAGAUACCCUGGUAGUC
rnacentral:rRNA from 1 species